rfam:Medicago truncatula strain A17 chromosome 6, whole genome shotgun sequence.
AAACAGCCCCCUAUGUUUUGAUUCUUUGGCAGUUUUGGACCCCGAAGGCAAAAAAAAUAAAAAAAUAGACACGUGGCACCUCACUUAGGGUGCCACGUCAGCGUUGACCGAAUCAACAAUGGACUAGGGGUCCAAAACUCCCAAAGAAUCAAAACAUAGGGGGCUGUUU